AAAAAAAAACCCCAAAAAACUAGCCUGGCAAUGUGGCAGGCACUAGUAGUCCCAGCUACCUGAGAGGCUGAGGCAAGAGAAUCGCUUAAGCCCAAGAGUUUGAAAUAGCUAUGAGGUAUAACACCUCGGCAUACUACCAAGUGUGGUAAAGUGAGACUCUGUCUCAAAAAAUAAAUUAAGAAAUAGUGCCUACUUAAAAAAGAUACAAAAUCAAACACAUAGAAUUGAAUCGGUCUUUAACUGUAUGUUUAUACAAUGUUUUCAUCUUCAAAGUAGCUUUACAUGCUAGUUUAGUACAUUCCCCAAACUAGGUUGCCAGGCAUUGUACCAGGUAUCUGUAGUCCCAGCUACUUGGAGGCUCAGGCAAGAGAAUUGCUUAAGCCCGAGAGUUCGAGAUUGCUGUGAGCUAUGACACCAGAACACUCUACUGAGGGUGACAUUAUAAGACUCUGUCUCAAAAAAUAAAUUUCCCAAACUAGGGUAUCACAAAACAGUAUUGAUGUCUAGUUGAAAAAAUUUUUCAGUGGUCAAAUAAGAAAAAACUGCACACUAUCCACUGUUUCGCAGAGCAAUAAUAUACUUUAAAUACAAUGAGAAAUCUUACUAUGAAUUAUUUAAGCUUUGUUUUUCUCAGUAUAUCCCAAACUUACAACUACAGAAUCUUUUCAGCAUUAUCAUGAUCCUGCAGAACACAAGCUGAAGUUCAAAGUUGGUGAAAUAAGGAAAAAAAGAAGCAAUCCAUAAAAACUAUAGACUUUUCUGAAUUUGAGUUUUAGGUCAUUAGAAAUGAAAACCAUGGUCAGAAACAGCCAGACAUUGGGAAUAAAAACAAAACCUAGUACUGACAAAAAUAGUGUUUUACUACAUUAAGCUAUGUAAAAAUAACCCAGAUUCAGCAAUCUGAUAUACAGGUGCCUGGAUGCAAGCAGCAAAUAUUUUUCUUUACAGAAAUGUGUUCAUUUGCAAAACCAAACAGUUAUCACAUUCAGAAGCUAAAACUGAUGGUGACAUUUCCUCCCACUUAGAACCUGCAAAACUAGUCCUAUCAUAUACAACAUUAAGAGAUGUGUAAUAUUAAAGUAUGAAACCAAUAAACUUUCUAAGCUAUCCUUGAUAAUGGGUGUUUUAACUGUGGAUGUGGUUUUUGUUUUCUAGGAAAUUAUUUAGACUAUGAUAUUAAAAAUACUACAACAAGCUCUCGGUCUCUGGGCCUGCUGCUGUGAAGAGGACGCUCUGCAGUCUCCGCGCCCGCCGUCUCCCUUUCCCAGUCCCUGCGACCACCGAGGCAAAGAUGGCCUCAGGAGUGCAAGUUGCUAAUGAAGUAUGUCGCAUUUUUUAUGACAUGAAAGUUACCAGAAGAAAUCAAAAAAAGAAAGAAGGCUGUCAUUUUUUUGUCUCAGUGCCGACAAAAAGUGCAUCAUUGUAGAAGAAGGGAAAGAGAUCUUGGUUGGAGAUAUUGGUGUGACCAUUACUGAUCCUUUCAAGCAUUUUGUGGGAAUGCUUCCUGAAAAAGAUUGUCACUAUGCUUUGUAUGAUGCGAGCUUUGAAACCAAAGUCCAGAAAAGAAGAGUUCAUGUUCUUUUUGUGGGCACCAGAACUAGCACCUCUGAAAAGUAAAAUGAUCUAUGCAAGCUCCAAGGAUGCAAUCAAAAAGAAAUUUCAAUGCAUAAAACAUGAAUGUCAAGCAAAUGGGCCAGAAGACCUUAUUGCGGCUUGUAUUGCUGAAAAGCUAGGUGGGUCCUUAAUUGUAGCCUUUGAAGGAUGCCCUGUGUAGAUCAUCAUUCAGUACCACAAAUUGAAAGCUUCCAUGUUUAAUGUUAUCCUCUUGCUAUAUAAAUAAAGCAAAAAUAUAUUUAGGCCAGGGUCUCACUG